UCCACACACGCGCACUGACGCCCUUACCGACGGCACCUGUCGACCACAACGCGAAACUGCUCCAACGAGUCUGCUCGUCACGGCCUCUUUUUGAUGCAUGGAAACACGCCCACUCACGGAGCUCCGCAUAUCUCUUCCUUGUCUCUCCAAGGCAGUGCAUCUCCAUCCCCCAUUCUCUCUCCUACGAACGCACGCGCGCAUACCUAGUCACCUUUAUCUCGAUUAGCGCAUGUGCCGUCGUUGCAGUCACGCACCUCUGCACCCCUCUUCUUCGCCCCUUAUAGUGUUGCAUGUGUGUCCGCCUCUUCCUUCUCGCCCUUUCGCGCUGUUUUUCUUUUCGUUUUGCUCUUUUUUUUUUGGACAGGCUGCCUGCCUGUGAUUCUUCUAUCGUGCGUUGUGUGCGCCUCAGGUCAACCACACCCCGCCUCACGGAAUUAUCGGGCCAAGCGAAUAUUUUCUGUCCCCAUCAUCGCACCACCUCUCCCCUGUCCCCGCCGCUCUCCCUGUGCUCAGAGAGCUUGACUCGCUGCAGCCCUUUGCCCGCUCUUCUCUACUCACCUUCCAGAGUAGCGUUUUUUUCCUUUGUGGCGGCGGCUACGCGCGGCCCAAACUAACGGCAAACCCUGCGAGCGAAGAAUGGCCUCUCCAGAGUCGCCUCAGACCUCUCUGCCGAGCGAGGAGAAGUACCCCUCGGUGCAUCUGUUGCUUCUAAUCACGGGCAGUGUCGCAGCAAUCAAGACAGGGCUGCUGCUGGAUCAGCUCUCGACAGAGCGGUGCAACAUCCGCAUUGCCGCUACAAAGGCUGCAUUUCACUUUCUCCGUCGCGCACAGCCGUCCAAGACGGGCAUCCCGUUUCAGAGCAUCAUCACGGACGAGCAGGAGUGGAGUGAGUGGCAGGCAAUGAACGAUGCCGUGGUGCACAUUGAGCUGCGCCGAUGGGCAGACCUCGUUGUGAUUGCUCCACUCAACGCGAACACGCUCGCCAAGGUGGCGACAGGGCUGUGCGACAACUUGGUCUCGAGUGUCAUGCGGGCGUGGGAGGUGAAGCAGAAGCCGGUGAUCCUGUGCCCGGCCAUGAACACCGCCAUGUGGACGCACCCCAUUACGGCAAAACAGCUGAAUCAGCUGGCGGAGUGGUACUGCGAUCCAGACGCGCGGAGCUGCACAUCAUGCACUAACAUGAUCAAGACCAGCUUUCCGGUAGGCGACAGCUGCGCGUCGCCUUCGAGGGCCGUUGUAAAGGAAAGCGCGGAGACAAACGGGAGAGAGGCUGAGGAUAGCGCGACGACGGCGAUAAACACCUCCUCUUCGUCGGCCGCGGUGACUGCCGGCGCCGUUGCUGCUGCUACUGCGCGUGGCCCUCCGCUCCCUGUGACGCUGCGUGAAUCGAUGUAUCAGGUUGUUGGUCCUGAGAGCAAGCGCCUGGCUUGUGGCGACAUCGGGAUCGGCGGUAUGGCUAGCGUCGAGGAGAUCGCGCUGCACAUUCGCCACACAAUGAAGCUUAUUCGAGAUGAGAAGCGGCGUUGCUUUCAAGAGGCGCCGGUGCGGCGCGAGGCGGAAGCUGGAGGCACUCAACCUGUGGCACACCCUCCUCAGGAGACGCACUAGUCCCAGAUGCAGCCUCCCCCCACGGCACGUGUGAUGGCGACGCGAGCCGCAGUGGUGAAGCGCUGUCGCAGGCGAAGGUGAAGGGACAGUGGACCGGCAAAGCAGUCGGAGGCAAGCGGCUAGCGAGGAAGAUCAAAGUCUAGCACAGAGCUAAUGCAGAUGCGGUUCCAUUCUCUUCUUGUAUGGGCAGCAGUCCUUCCUCCCCCCACACACACCUCCCGCCUCCCCACAACCUCGCACCUCACCGUCUUCUUCGGCUCUGCCGCGUGCCAUCUUGAGAUUGAUGAUGCCUGUGUGUGCUGUGUAAAAAAAAACCUUCACCGCCGCGGCUCUGCUUAUCUUCCGUUCGCUCUUCUUUUUAAUCUCACCACCACACCAUCGUCUGAGCGUGGGCGGAGGAGGGCGGCGGCGGCGAUACCCUACGUUAACGGAAGCAGGCGAGCAUUUUUCUUCACAAGCGACGCGGAUUCGCACGCCAUCAGCGAGGCAUGAUGGAGAGCAAGUUAGCAAGACCCUUCUUUUUUCGCUUGUUGUGCGCCGUGCG
rnacentral:misc_RNA from 1 species